UUUUUUUAGUUUUAUCAUUCUCUUAUUUUAGAAGUUACAGGGGGGGGGACACAUUUUACCACUUUGGAAGUGUCUCUCGUGCAAACUAUUCAUUUCAGUUCUAAGUAUGGGGGACCCCCAAAAUUUAUCGUUUUUUUCUAUUUUUGUGUAAAAAUCUUAAUGCGGUUCACAGAAUACAUCUACUUACCAAGUUUCAACAGUAUAGUUCUUAUAGUUUCGGAAAAAAGUGGCUGUGACAUACACGGACAGACAGACGGA